rnacentral:piRNA from 1 species
UAGGUUGGAAGAGUACAGUGGACAACGGG